GUGUGACACAGCUGGACAUAGGCGACUCUGUAAUUAGGCGAUUUAUGCGUCCACUUAAGGCCUCAAAUUCACUGGGCCUCAUGGCCACAUAACUCUACUAACUGGAGAACAAGGCUUGUAGCAUGGGGCAGGAAGCGUAGGGUCACCACCGGAGGGAUGACAACUAUUAGGAGGUGCGAGGAGCAACAGCAGCCAGAUGACCCUUGUACUGCUCCAGAUUCAGGAGAGGGAAAGGGAGCAAAAGCAUAUUGGAAGAUGGGAGAGGGGUAAGAGGGAGAUGGAGCUGAGAGGAGAGAGGAAGAUAGAGCUUGGGGGAGUGACAGAGAUAGAGCUGGGUGGUAGAGAGAAAGAGAGAGCUGGGGGACAGAGAAAGGGAGCUGGAGUGAGAGGGAGAUGGAGUGGAGGUAGAGAGGGAGAUGGAACUGGGGGGAGAGAAGGAGAUGGAAUUGGAGAGAGAGGGAGAUGGAGCAUCACUUUCUGUGGUUAGAGUUUAGUGCCCAUCUAUCUUUGUACUUAGCCACCACUGAGGUCCAAUACUAUUCUCAUAUCACUGACAAUGAGCUGUGGGAAUUGUAGUCCAACACAAUUUGAGGUGUUGCAAUGUGACUCUGUUGUAAGAGAUUUUAAGGAUUAACUGACUCCUCUGUUAACCAUCAAGUUACAUUUCUG